GAACGGCAGCACAGGAGAGCUUGCUCUCUGGGUGGCGAGUGGCGGACGGGUGAGGAAUACAUCGGAAUCUACUUUUUCGUGGGGGAUAACGUAGGGAAACUUACGCUAAUACCGCAUACGACCUACGGGUGAAAGCAGGGGAUCUUCGGACCUUGCGCGAUUGAAUGAGCCGAUGUCGGAUUAGCUAGUUGGCGGGGUAAAGGCCCACCAAGGCGACGAUCCGUAGCUGGUCUGAGAGGAUGAUCAGCCACACUGGAACUGAGACACGGUCCAGACUCCUACGGGAGGCAGCAGUGGGGAAUAUUGGACAAUGGGCGCAAGCCUGAUCCAGCCAUACCGCGUGGGUGAAGAAGGCCUUCGGGUUGUAAAGCCCUUUUGUUGGGAAAGAAAUCCAGCUGGUUAAUACCCGGUUGGGAUGACGGUACCCAAAGAAUAAGCACCGGCUAACUUCGUGCCAGCAGCCGCGGUAAUACGAAGGGUGCAAGCGUUACUCGGAAUUACUGGGCGUAAAGCGUGCGUAGGUGGUCGUUUAAGUCCGUUGUGAAAGCCCUGGGCUCAACCUGGGAACUGCAGUGGAUACUGGGCGACUAGAGUGUGGUAGAGGGUAGCGGAAUUCCUGGUGUAGCAGUGAAAUGCGUAGAGAUCAGGAGGAACAUCCAUGGCGAAGGCAGCUACCUGGACCAACACUGACACUGAGGCACGAAAGCGUGGGGAGCAAACAGGAUUAGAUAUCCUGGUAGUCCACGCCCUAAACGAUGCGAACUGGAUGUUGGGUGCAAUUUG
rnacentral:rRNA from 1 species